CGCGUAGGCGGCAAUUCAAGUCAUCUGUGAAAUCUCCGGGCUUAACUCGGAACGGUCAGAUGAUACUGCUUUGCUAGAGUGCGGAAGGGGCAAUCGGAAUUCUUGGUGUAGCGGUGAAAUGCGUAGAUAUCAAGAGGAACACCUGAGGUGAAGAGGGUUGCUGGGCCGACACUGACGCUGAGUGCGCGAAAGCCAGGGAGCAAACG
rnacentral:rRNA from 1 species